GAUGAACGCUAGCGGCAGGCUUAAUACAUGCAAGUCGAGGGGCAGCAGUCCCGCAGCAAUGCGGGGGCUGGCGACCGGCAAACGGGUGCGGAACACGUACAGAACCUUCCUUCGAGCGGGGAAUAGCCCAGAGAAAUUUGGAUUAAUACCCCAUAGCAUUACGAAGUGGCAUCACUUUGUAAUUAAAGAUUUAUCACUCGAAGAUGGCUGUGCGGCUGAUAGGUAGUUGGCGGAGUAACGGCCCACCAAGCCUUCGAUCAGUAACUGGUGUGAGAGCACGACCAGUCACACGGGCACUGAGACACGGGCCCGACUCCUACGGGAGGCAGCAGUAAGGAAUAUUGGUCAAUGGACGAAAGUCUGAACCAGCCAUGCCGCGUGGAGGAUGAAGGUCCUCUGGAUUGUUAAACUUCUUUUAUAUGGGAACGAAAAAGGUCUUUUCUAAGUCGUCUGACGGUACCAUAUGAAUAAGCACCGGCUAACUCCGUGCCAGCAGCC
rnacentral:rRNA from 1 species